CCUUCAAAACACCAAAAUUCCUAACACCCCUCUCACUCACCUCCCUCAUCACUCUCACUCUCGAUCUCUCCCCCGCUGCUCUCCCAACUUUCGUUCCCGCUGCUCUCCCUCCCUCCUAUGAUGGAUCCAAUGGCUUUCAAGCCUGAAAACGCUGCAUUUGGAGCUCUGGUUUUCGAGUGUUCUUGCUUUGUGAGUGGAGUUCGUAAAGAUAGAGAGGAUAAGACCUCUUUGGCCUAUGAACCAGUUAUGGCGAUGAACAAGCAAGCCUCAUUCUCUUGUUAAUCGGGCUUUAGCAAGAGAAUGCAAAGAUGUGAAAAUUGACAGAGUAUAUAUCGGAUCUUGUACAUGAGGAAAAACGGAGGACUUUAUGGCUGCAGCCAAAGUUUUCCUAGCUUCAGUAAGAAACCAUAUAUCUUUGUUGUAUAUGUUGGACAAUUCUUUUGCUCCUAAAUAUAAUGUUCUUUUUUAA